GCACCACCCCAUGAGCAUUUUCCACCAGGUCAUGAACCAGCAGACCAUGGCAGAUACCAACCACCCAGUGAAGCACCACCCCAUGAGCAUUUUGCACCAGCUCAUGCACCAGCAGACCAUGGCAGAUACCAACCACCCA